rnacentral:rRNA from 1 species
GACGAACGCUGGCGGCGUGCUUAACACAUGCAAGUCGAGCGGUAAGGCUCCUUCGGGAGUACACGAGCGGCGAACGGGUGAGUAACACGUGAGCAACCUGCCCUUCUCAUCGGAAUAAGCGUUGGAAACGACGUCUAAUGCCGAAUCUGACAACGGAUCGCAUGAUCUGUUGUGGAAAGCUCCGGCGGAGAAGGAUGGGCUCGCGGCCUAUCAGCUUGUUGGUGGGGUAACGGCCCACCAAGGCGACGACGGGUAGCCGGCCUGAGAGGGUGACCGGCCACACUGGGACUGAGACACGGCCCAGACUCCUACGGGAGGCAGCAGUGGGGAAUAUUGGACAAUGGGCGCAAGCCUGAUCCAGCAACGCCGCGUGAGGGAUGACGGCCUUCGGGUUGUAAACCUCUUUCAGCAGGGACGAAGCGAAAGUGACGGUACCUGCAGAAGAAGGACCGGCCAACUACGUGCCAGCAGCCGCGGUAACAC